rnacentral:rRNA from 1 species
AGGGUGUAAACGCUGCAGACUUGGUGUUGGAGGCCCUUUGGGGGCAUUCAGUGCCGGAGAGAAGUUGUUAAGUCUGCUACUUGGGGAGUGCGUCCGCAAGGAUGAAACUUAAAGGAAUUGGCGGGGGAGCACCGCAACGGGAGGAGCGUGCGGUUUAAUUGGAUUCAACACCGUAAACCUCACCAGGGAAGACUGUUACAUGAAGGCCGAGAUGAAGACUCUGCUAGAUUUUCAGAGAGGAGGUGCAUGGCGUCAGUGACU